UACGGAGGGUGCAAGCGUUAUCCGGAUUUACUGGGUUUAAAGGGUGCGUAGGUGGCGGGGUAAGUCAGGUGUGAAAUCUCGGAGCUCAACUCCGAAACUGCACUUGAUACUGCCUUGCUUGAGUACUGGAGAGGAGAUUGGAAUUUACGGUGUAGCAGUGAAAUGCGUAGAUAUCGUAAGGAAGACCAGUGGCGAAGGCGACUCUUUGGCCUGUAACUGACGCUGAGGCGCGAAAGCGUGGGGAGCAAACAGG
rnacentral:rRNA from 1 species